AACUUAUAAAGGUGAAGGGGUGGGCAAAACCGGAAAAAAGAGGUGUCUUUGUCGAAAUAGUUUGGUCGUAUUAUGGCAUAUGGUGGUCUGGAAAGUGAUUAUUCCUGUCGAAAAUACACUCUAGUAUUGGAUAAUGUAAUCGUUAUGUGUCUGUCUGUUAUAAUGAAGGCUAGAAAGUACAUUUAAAAACUAGUUUUAAGAAAUACUUAUAUGCAUUUUAUUCCAUCCGGACAGAAUUUUACGACAGCAAUUUUUUUUAACUUACUUGUAAGACCUUUGUCUAUUUUCUAAUAGUGCAGUUUUCUUCAAAAUAGUUGUAUUAUAGGUUGUAGACCCAAAACCACCUAGUGCCUACGAAAUCGUCGCACUUAAUCGUCGGACUACGAUUGCUCUGUAUAUUGCGCAGGCGCUUUUAUAGCGUAAAGAUAAAAAUAUUACACGAAUAUAUACCAUGACAUAGAAUAGAGUAUACUCUUUUAAAGAAAAAUCUAAUAUAAUGCGUAAAUUAUUCUAAAAAAAAAUAAAAAAUGAUCUAAAUUAAUUUAGUAAAUUACGUGGAUUUGAACAUACUUUGUUUUUAAAAUUAUUAGAUAAAGGAUUUGUACCGUUUGUAGCAAAGAAAGAAAGCGACGUUGCAAGUUCGUGCAUUGUUCGAAAUCGCCACGUGCGCUUUGCGCUGCUGCCAGACUGGUUCGUUGUUUGUUGUUUGGACAUUUAGAAAACUUGUCAAUCUUGCUUGCCAUUGUGUUGUUUAUAGCGUUCCGCGACGAUUCUGUAUGAGUUAGCGUGUACUCCUUAUCGUUUUAUUCCUGUUACUUGUUAUCAUUCGUUGUUAUUGUUUUGUUUGUUAUUGAACUUAGUGUUUUGUGUGGUACAAGUCGUUUCGUACUAAUAACGUACGUGUGCGUACGUACUUUAUGUUUGAAAAUCCCUUAGAAUGGGAAACAAGAAAGGACGAAAACCUAGUGCAUCAGUGAGGUUGAAGCGGAAACGUAUAAGCAAACAUGCUCUGGAAUGUCGUUACAACAAAGCCGCUGCACAGCCACCUGAUCCACAUGACCAAAUUGACAGUGAAGUGUGUCUUCUGUUCAAGAAACCACAAAUCAACCUGAACCAUCUUCUGCUCAUGGAUAUAAUUUGAGUGAAGACACUGAAGGCAAUGAUUUUAUUAUAAUACCUGAAAAUAUACCUACUGGCCCUGAACAUGGCCAUGAAACAAAAUAUGGCAGGAGGAUUGUCAAUGUGGCCCAGUUCUUUGACAAGUUACAAGAAAUAUCUGCACAUGGCCCUCUCAAUUGCGGAUUAAAAUCAGUCCAGAUCAUAUCAGAAACACGAACUGGUCUUAUCUCACUUUACACAUUAGAGUGCAAAAUGUGCAAUAUGAGGUUUCAUAUUCACAAUGACAAUGCUGCUGAUACAUUGGACUUGAACAUUAGCGCAGUGGCAGGCACAGUAGCAAUUGGGUGUGGCUACACUCAACUCACUGAUUUAACAGCUGCUAUUGGCAUACCUCUAAUGUCAAAAAAUAUAUUUUCUGCCAGAAUGGCGGUUGUACACAAAAAGUGGGAAGAAGAAUUGUAUAAAUCAAUGACCCAGGCUGCUGAAGAAGAACGCGAAUUAGCUAUAAAAGAGGGAAUAGUCAAUUCUGAAGGCAUUGCUAUCAUAGAUGUGAUAGCUGAUGGAUGUUAUUCCAAAAGGUCCUAUAGAAAGAAUUAUUCUGCUUUAUCAGGUGCAGCUGCUAUUAUUGGCAAAAGGACUAAUAAAAUAUUGUAUGUAGCAAUAAAAAACAAGUAUUGCUCAAUUUGCUCUGUAGCACAGAGUAGAAACAUAGAUGCAAAGGAACACAAUUGUGGAAGGAAAAAAUGGAAAGGCAGCUAACAGAAUUUUAUUUAGAUUGUCUUCUGCCCGAAAUUAUUGACCCCAGGCACACACGGAAAAUGCCGAUUAGAGACCCCGCCUACAUAACAGAAGCCAUUAAUGAGAAAGAGAGGAAGAAAACCUCUGCGCCACCAAGAAAAAGAAAACUAGCUGAAAACAGUGAAAACAUACCACCGCCCCCCAGCCGUCGUAGUCGCGAUAAAUAAACGAUAAAAACUGU